UCCACGCUUCAAGAUUGCUUCAAUCACGUGGACUGGGAUAUGUUCCAGGACCUGAGCCCUAGGACCAUGCCUCAGGACUACCUGGCAUGAUGACUCCUUGCUGUCCCCAGUCCACCUGGCUGUGCUGCUGCUCCAGUUUGAACUGUUCUGCCUGCGGCUAUGGAACCCUGACCUGCUCACCGGACGUGCUACCUGUCCCAGACCUGCUGUUUUCAACUCUCUAGCGACAGCAGGAGCGGUAGAGAUACUCUCAAAGAUCGGCUAUGAAAAAGCCAACUGACACUUACUCUUGUGUUGCUGACUUGUUGCACCCUCGACAACUACUAUGAUUAUUAUUAUUU
rnacentral:lncRNA from 1 species